CCUACGGGAGGCAGCAGUGAGGAAUAUUGGUCAAUGGGCGGAAGCCUGAACCAGCCAAGUCGCGUGAGGGAUGAAGGCCCUGCGGGUCGUAAACCCCUUCUGCCGGGGAGCAGAGGUCCGGACGUGUCCGGGCCGGGAGAGUACCCGGAGAAAAAGCAUCCGCAAACUCCGUGCCAGCAGCCGCGGUAAUACGGGGGAUGCGAGCGUUAUCCGGAUUUAUUGGGUUUAAAGGGUGCGUAGGCGGAUGUUUAAGUCAGCGGUAAAAUGUCCGGGCUCAACCCGGGACGGCCGUUGAAACUGGGGAUCUUGAGUGGGCGAGAGGUAUGCGGAAUGCGUGGUGUAGCGGUGAAAUGCAUAGAUAUCAGGCAGAACUCCGAUUGCGAAGGCAGCAUACCGGCGCCCGACUGACGCUGAGGCACGAAAGCGUGGGGAUCGAACAGGAUUAGAUACCCUAGUAGUC
rnacentral:rRNA from 1 species